UUGUGAAGCAGAAUUCACC
rnacentral:ncRNA from 3 species